CAGACCUCUUGCAAACUCCAAAUCAGCACACAGUAGACACAUGUGUCUAAUCAGGAGCUACUUAAGAUCAGGUGUUGAUCGCCACUUUUAUUUCAUUUGUGUUUGCUCUGUCAGUUAACCAUUCAGGUCCUUGACAAGGCUGACUGAACAUGGCAGCGGCGGUUAACAGGCCUCCUCUGGCUCCUGAAGGGCCAAGUGGAGCAAACCCACACGUUCGAGUUAACGCUGACGUGGCAAACUCUACACAGCAGGAUCCAGGACUACACAGCACCAGCCAAGAUCCUGGACCUUCAUCUCAUCCUCAACACCCUGUCUUUGCCAGACCUCUGUUUUAUGUUCAUGCUCCACCUCUACCCCCGUUCCUCCAAUACCAGUGGCCCUUGCCUUAUAAUCCCUUUCCAGGCUUCCUAGGCAUGGGAUAUGGUAUGGUCAUGCCCCCACUUCCCCCUCCCCCUUACCUGGAGUCUCCAGCUUACAUUGUACCACACCCUCAGGUACAACCAGUCGACUAUAGACGCCUGCUUCAUCCCCAAGCCCACAGUCAUGCUCCUGGUGGAUCGUUUCAAAAUUUAAACCAGACUCGCAGAAUUCGCCUGCCUCAUACUACCCCUGUUAGAGAAACGGUGAAUUCUGAGGUCCAAACAGAACCCAUACACAGAGGUGGCUAUGAUGAGGGAUGCCCAAUUCUCAGCUCAGACUCUGGACGUGCAACUGCCUCCAAUUCUCCUUCAUCCUUAAGCUCUAGUUCCCAAAAACAAGGCUCAGCUGAGGUUGAGACCUAUAUGUUGGCCAGUACUGAGGCAAAAGAACAGGUCAAAGGGGCUAGCACAAACAGAGUCAAACAUGGCUGUCACAUGGUGCAUCCUACAGGGAUUACUGUCCAGUCAUCUAGAAGGGAAACUCAAGAAAUACAGGGAUGUAAGGAUGGUGCUAUUCAGGAGCCCUCUCUUAUCCCUCCUUGCGGAAAUGCACAUUGCAACAUGUGGUCAGUGAGUUCUCAGGAUAGCAUGGGGCCAGUAUGUAGCUCUUCUCAAACAGAGGAUGAAGUCAAAGAGAGGCGCAUCUCUGUUCCUGACAUUCUAAGCUGGGGAGGUGGUACAUCACAGAAAGCGAUGACAACAGCAGCUGAGGCACUCCUCCAAAAUAAUCAUGAGAUUCAAUGUUAUGAAAAUGAAGUGGAGAGAAAGUCUGUUUAUCAGAGUCCAAGUAAGCCAAAGAAUUAUCCAGUGGUGGUUAGCAGUGCUGAUGAUGUAGAUUUUGAAGUUCUUUCAAGUUCUAAGGACAGUGAAAUGGUCUUUAAGAUCCUCAGACUUCCGUCUCUUUUAGAACCCUUUUCACUGUCAACAAGAGAUGCAGAUUCUGUGGAAAUGCUUGUUAAACCUUGUCUAUCUAACGGAGAUGAAAUUCUGCAGGCACUAAAUGCACUCCGCAAUGGGACAGAAAAUGGCAGUGAGACGCAUGAAGAGCCUACAGAGAUCACUCCAAAGCACACAUCUUUAAGUAGAUGUCAGAUGAAUAAAAAUAUUAAUGAGUCAGUCUGGUCUGUGGAGUCUCUAGCUCCUUUCAUUCCUACUAAGGAGUGGCUACAGCAGAAUAGCGUAUUUGAACCUGAAGUCAUUGUAGAGAUGGAGAGGGCUGAAAAUAGUAAAUGGUCAACCAAAAAAGAUGACUCAAUUGGUAAAUUUUCUAAAGAAAGAAGGCAAUCUUCAAGAUUUUCUUCUCCUGACUCUGUUCUGGUGUCAGAAAGUGUUCUUACUUUUAGUACCCCAGCUAAGAAGCAAAGUCCUCCAAAGAACCCAGACAUGGUGUGUGAAACUGAAGUCUCUGAAACAAAAGGAACUGAAGAAAGCCAAAGCACAGUUCCUUCAGAAAAGUAUCCUUUACUUUCACUUACUACCCUGCAGGGUAUAAUUUUAACUGCCUCCACUGAUGAAGAUAUGAAUGACCAUGGGUCUUCAGAGCCUGAGGCUAACCAAAGCCCAAACCAGGGAACUCUUAUAUAUGAGCAAGAGGAGAAAAGCUCAGUUGAGAGAAAGGAAACCUGCCUCAUUAACUCUGCAGCAGAGGACAAAGUCUCAUCCACUUCCCAAAUGACUCUCCAAAAUGACACACAAAUGGAGGUGGCGACUGCAGCACAAAAAGUAGAUGGUCAAAUGAGAAAUGUGGAACUGGGUGUGCCAACAACUGACCAGAAGAUGGCUCAAGUGACACCAUCAAAGGGGAAUUUAGUAGACUGUGCAAUCCAGUGUACUGAACUACAGGGUCUAAAGUGUUUAUGUAAGGAGUUGAAGGGAGGCGUGGGAUCAAACAGAAAGCCUCAAAAAUAUCCAGACUUGAAAAAGGCAAAUGAUGGAAAAGCUGAAGCAUUCUGCAUGCAGAAAAAUUCAAAGAGGAAUGGUCAGUGGCGAAACAGAGGUCCAGUGCAAACUUGUUCAGUCCCACAGUGUGACUGAAGUAGCUUCAUGCCCAUGAAAAGCAUAAUGGCCAGCAGGAAGACUGCAAUGGAUCCGGAAGCAGACCUGGGAAGUUGAAAGGUGGGAGUGGAAGGAACCCAAGGUACUGACAGUGACCACACUUCAACACAAGUCAACACUUGGUUUUUUUUAAUUUAAAUUGAGUUAUUAAAAAGUUUCUUACUUUUCAAUAAAAGCAUUGUAUUAAACAUAA